GCUUUAACUGAGAAUAAUAUACAAGGCAGUGAAUUUUCACGUAUCUGAAGUUUGGUAUGAGAAUUUGACUAUGUUUGUUUGUUUUUUUAACUUUGAAGAAUGAACCUAAAAUAUGUGUGUUGACUUGGGCUUGGCUUUUGUCUUACUAACAAAUAUCAAAAUGAAUUUGAAUACAGAUAGCCAUGACAAAGAGGUCUGUGUACUUGAACGCUGAAUCUUUGUAUUUGUCUUCUCCAUGUCUGCAACGUCAACUCCAAACACAAUGUCAGACUUUUAUCUUUUGCUUAAGUCAUGCUCUGAGCUGCAUGCUGUCACAGGCAAAUCAUCUGCCUUGCCAUUGCCGCCUCUUGGAACUGAAAAUUAAAGAAUUCCAACCUGAAGAUGCCUAGAGGAAAAAUUGGAGUCCCUGCCAUGAGUAACUUUGCUUAUGAAAGCUAAAGUGAAUAUUUGAAAGCCAAUAGUUGGGAC
rnacentral:lncRNA from 1 species